UGGCGGAGCCAUCCUUGGGAUACCACCCUUGUAGUACUGGGACUCUAACCAUAGGCCAUGAAUCUGGUCUUGGGACACUGUCAGGUGGGCAGUUUGACUGGGGCGGUCGCCUCCCAAAAGGUAACGGAGGCGCUCAAAGGUUCUCCCAGUACGGUCGGAAAUCGUACGUAGAGUGUAAAGGCAAAAGAGAGCUUGAUUGCAAGACAUACAGGUCGAGCAAGGAUGAAAAUCGGACUUAGUGAUCCGGUGGUUCUGCGUGGAAGUGCCAUCGCU
rnacentral:rRNA from 1 species